rnacentral:rRNA from 1 species
UGGAUCCAGACUUUGAUUCUGGCUCAGGACGAACGCUGGCGGCGUGCCUAACACAUGCAAGUCGAACGGAGUAUUGCGCUGAACGGAAGGUGCUUGCACUGGAAGUUCUUGUAAUACUUAGUGGCGGACGGGUGAGUAACGCGUGAGCAACCUGCCUUUCAGAGGGGGAUAACGUCUGGAAACGGACGCUAAUACCGCAUGAGACCACAUCUCCGCAUGGGGAAGCGGUCAAAGGAGCAAUCCGCUGAAAGAUGGGCUCGCGUCCGAUUAGGUAGUUGGCGGGGUAGAGGCCCACCAAGCCGACGAUCGGUAGCCGGACUGAGAGGUUGAACGGCCACAUUGGGACUGAGACACGGCCCAGACUCCUACGGGAGGCAGCAGUGAGGGAUAUUGGUCAAUGGGGGAAACCCUGAACCAGCAACGCCGCGUGAGGGAAGACGGUCUUCGGAUUGUAAACCUUUGUCCUCUGUGAAGAUAGUGACGGUAGCAGAGGAGGAAGCUCCGGCUAACUACGUGCCAGCAGCCGCGGUAAUACGUAGGGAGCGAGCGUUGUCCGGAUUUACUGGGUGUAAAGGGUGCGUAGGCGGUUUUGCAAGUCAGAAGUGAAAUCCAUGGGCUUAACCCAUGAACUGCUUUUGAAACUGCAGGACUUGAGUGAAGUAGAGGUAGGCGGAAUUCCCGGUGUAGCGGUGAAAUGCGUAGAGAUCGGGAGGAACACCAGUGGCGAAGGCGGCCUACUGGGCUUUAACUGACGCUGAGGCACGAAAGCGUGGGUAGCAAACAGGAUUAGAUACCCUGGUAGUCCAUGCCGUAAACGAUGAUUACUAGGUGUGGGGGGACUGACCCCCUCCGUGCCGGAGUUAACACAAUAAGUAAUCCACCUGGGGAGUACGACCGCAAGGUUGCAACUCAAAUGAAUUGACGGA